CUCGGACGCCAGUUCGAGUGGAGCCCAUCCUUGAAAUACCACCCUGGUAAUGUUGAGGUUCUAACCCAGUCCCGUUAUCCGGACGGGGACAGUGUAUGGUGGGUAGUUUGACUGGGGCGGUCUCCUCCUAAAAGAGUAACGGAGGAGUACGAAGGUGCGCUCAGCGUGGUCGGAAAUCACGCACUGAGUAUAAAGGCAAAAGCGCGCUUAACUGCGAGACCCACAAGUCGAGCAGGUACGAAAGUAGGUCUUAGUGAUCCGGUGGUUCUGUAUGGAAGGGCCAUCGCUCAACGGAUAAAAGGUACUCUGGGGAUAACAGGCUGAUUACCGCCCAAGAGUUCAUAUCGACGGCGGUGUUUGGCACCUCGAUGUCGGCUCAUCUCAUCCUGGGGCUGAAGACAGGUCCCAAAGGGUAUGGCUGUUCGCCAUUUAAAGAGGUACGCGAGCUGGGUUUUAGAACGUCGUGAGACAGUUCGGUCCCUAUCUACCGUGGGCGUUGGAGACUUGAGAGGAUCUGCUUCUAGUACGAGAGGACC
rnacentral:rRNA from 1 species